rnacentral:piRNA from 1 species
UGAGUGAGUUAGUCUAGAGAUGGGGGAA